ACGGAAGGCAGCAGUGGGGGAUAUUGCGCAAUGGGGCAACCCUGACGCAGCAACGCCGCGUGAAGGAAGACGGUUUUCGGAUUGUAAACUUCUCUAAGUGUGGAAGAAGAUGACGGUACACACAGAAUAAGCCACGGCUAACUACGUGCCAGCAGCCGCGGUAAUACGUAGGUGGCGAGCGUUGUCCGGAUUUACUGGGUGUAAAGGGCGUGUAGGCGGGAUUACAAGUCAGAUGUGAAAUACCGAGGCUUAACUUCGGGGCUGCAUUUGAAACUGUAGUUCUUGAGUGUCGGAGAGGAAAGCGGAAUUCCUAGUGUAGCGGUGAAAUGCGUAGAUAUUAGGAGGAACACCGGUGGCGAAGGCGGCUUUCUGGACGAUAACUGACGCUGAGGCGCGAAAGUGUGGGGAGCAAACAGGAUUAGAUACCCUGGUA
rnacentral:rRNA from 1 species